UACGUAGGUGGCAAGCGUUGUCCGGAUUUACUGGGCGUAAAGAGCGCGCAGGCGGUCGUUCAAGUCGCGUGUGAAAGCCCCCGGCUCAACUGGGGAGGGUCACGCGAUACUGAUCGACUCGAAGGCAGGAGAGGGAAGUGGAAUUCCCGGUGUAGUGGUGAAAUGCGUAGAUAUCGGGAGGAACACCAGUGGCGAAGGCGACUUCCUGACCUGUUCUUGACGCUGAGGCGCGAAAGCUAGGGGAGCAAACGGG
rnacentral:rRNA from 1 species